CUGAGAAUAGUCGUUCUGAGAGAGGAAAGCGUGUGGCUUCUGCAGCAACACCACCAAAUACAACUCCUACCCACUAGUAGUACAAGUUAUAUGCCCCACUUUAUUUGUUUAAAGUUUAAGGGCUAAUGAAUUUCAACUGUUUUUUAUUAAUAAGUAAAGUUAUUUAUCUUCCUAAAGAAACAAUGUAAAAAUGAAUCAAUAUUGGUGUAAACUUUUACACCAUUGAAAUUUAUGCAUUUCUAGGAUUUGGUUUAUUUUCUCUUUUGAAUUGAAACUUUUUUUUAUCUUUGAUAAACACUAUUUAAGUACAAAUAAUGAAAAAUAUUGCACAAUAAAUAAAGUUAGAACCCAUUAAGUAACACUCUCUUGCGUUAGAAAUUACAAAUAUGUCAAAAUUACUAACAACAUUGAAAGGUGAGUGUUAUGAAUGUUGUCUUUCUAAUACUCUCUCUAACACUUAUUUUUUAUUGAGUAAAAUUCAUGUCGCUCCCACAAUUUGGAAAUAAAUGCCACAUAAAGUGUUGAGACACACAUGAAUUUUAGAUGAUUAGAGAUUGAAUGUUAGAGUGUUAGACAUAUUAUUUCUUAAAUUAAAAAUAUCUAAAAGAUGAUUAUUCCACACAUGAUUAAUCAUCCAUAUUUAAAACCAUGAGAUUUCGCUUUAAAGUUUAAUCUACCAUACAAAAUGAAUUUUGACUUUGUCAACAAUAUUCGUCACAUUGAGCUCUUUCUAGGCAAAAUUACUUUAAGCA
rnacentral:lncRNA from 1 species